GCUCUAUUAGUAUCAAACAGUACAAUUGACUUCCAAUCAAUUAGCUCUGGUACAAACCCAGAAUAGAACA
rnacentral:tRNA from 1 species